rnacentral:SRP_RNA from 1 species
CGGUCCUCUCGCAAUGAUCUUCUGUAAACUCCGCCAGGCCCGGAAGGGAGCAACGGUAGCAGAAAGUAUCAUGUGCCGGGAUGUGGCUGACU